rnacentral:rRNA from 1 species
GAUGAACGCUAGCUACAGGCUUAACACAUGCAAGUCGAGGGGAAACGACAUCGAAAGCUUGCUUUUGAUGGGCGUCGACCGGCGCACGGGUGAGUAACGCGUAUCCAACCUGCCCAUCACUUGGGGAUAACCUUGCGAAAGUAAGACUAAUACCCAAUGAUAUCUCUAGAAGACAUCUGAAAGAGAUUAAAGAUUUAUCGGUGAUGGAUGGGGAUGCGUCUGAUUAGCUUGUUGGCGGGGUAACGGCCCACCAAGGCAACGAUCAGUAGGGGUUCUGAGAGGAAGGUGCCCGACAUUGGAACUGAGACUCGGUCCAAGCUCCUACGGGAGGCAGCAGUGAGGAAUAUUGGUCAAUGGGCGAGAGCCUGAACCAGCCAAGUAUCGUGCAGGAAGACGGCCCUAUGGGUUGUAAUCUGCUUUUAUAAGGGAAUAAAGUGAGAGUCGUGACUCUUUUUGUAUGUACCUUAUGAAUAAGGACCGGCUAAUUCCGUG